CCUACGGGAGGCUGCAGUGAGGAAUAUUGGUCAAUGGACGAGAGUCUGAACCAGCCAAGUAGCGUGAAGGAUGACUGCCCUAUGGGUUGUAAACUUCUUUUAUAAAGGAAUAAAACGAGGCACGUGUGCCUUUUUGCAUGUACUUUAUGAAUAAGGAUCGGCUAACUCCGUGCCAGCAGCCGCGGUAAUACGGAGGAUCCGAGCGUUAUCCGGAUUUAUUGGGUUUAAAGGUAGCGUAGAUGGGGUGUUAAGUCAGUUGUGAAAGUUUGCGGCUCAACCGUAAAAUUGCAAUUGAUACUGGCAGUCGUGAGUACAGUUGAGGUAGGCGGAAUUCGUGGUGUAGCGGUGAAAUGCUUAGAUAUCACGAAGAACCCCGAUUGCGAAGGCAGCUUACUAAACUGUGACUGACAUUGAUGCUCGAAAGUGUGGGUAUCAAACAGGAUUAGAUACCCGAGUAGUC
rnacentral:rRNA from 1 species